AUCUUAUUGGCAGAAAUAAUGCAGUAAAUUUAGAAUUUACUAAUACUA
rnacentral:tRNA from 1 species